rnacentral:rRNA from 1 species
UACAGAGGGGGCAAGCGUUGUUCGGAAUUACUGGGCGUAAAGGGCGCGUAGGCGGCCUGUUAAGUCAGACGUGAAAUCCCUCGGCUCAACCGGGGAACUGCGUCUGAUACUGGCGGGCUUGAAUUCGGGAGAGGGAUGUGGAAUUCCAGGUGUAGCGGUGAAAUGCGUAGAUAUCUGGAGGAACACCGGUGGCGAAGGCGCUCUGCUAGGCCGUAACUGACACUGAGGGACGAAAGCUAGGGGAGCGAAUGGG